AUGCUGGUGCUGGGAAUUGAACCCAGGUCCUCUGGAAGAGCAGCCAGUGCUCUUAACCUCUGAGUCAUCUCUCCAGCCCCAGGAAUACUUUAUCUUUGAGGCUAUAAGAGCCAGAGAGAUGUCAUGUGACGGUGUGCAGACCCAGGCAUCUGCCCUGUGAAGGAGUAGGGCUUGUGAGGGCAGAAGACAUGUGGGGUGAGGGUGGGGAGCAGUAAGCCAACUUAACCCUUGGAGGCAUGCAGAGGCCUGCUGUGGAAACCCUCUUCUGGGUUUAUCAAUGGAAACCCUCUUCUGGGUUUAUCAAUUUAGUUCUAUUUCCUGUUUAUGUUCAUUGGUAUUUUGACUACAUGUAUUUCUGUGUGAGGGUGCCCAAAGCCCUGGAAAGGGAGUUGCAGACAGGUGUGAGCUGUCCUGUGGGUGCUGGGAAUUGAACCGGGGUCCUCUGGAAGAGCAACCAGUGCCCUUAACCACUGAGCCAUCUCUCCAGCCUCCCUCUUCAUUGUUAUUAAGGAGACCAGCCUUAUGGAAAAUUUGGACACAAAAGAAUUAACCAAUGUUUUAUUUUCUAAAUGCUCUAGGUGUUACUUAGGUAUCUGGCAUGGCACAUGACUAGCAGCCAGUCCUCUGUAUGUGCUUAACAUGUCUGAGUGAGUUUGUGUAGGGGAGGUGAACCACUCCUCCGCCCCAACAUAUUGUGUCCUGGGGACUGAGCCCCUUUGUCAGUACAUAGGGUCUGAAUACUUGCCCUCUGCUGUCUCAGAGACACACCGCCCCCCUCAGAACCCCCACACCUCUCUGUUGCAGGGUGACUGUCAAGUUUAUGGGUUCACCUCACAGGAAGUGGGGGGUUCAGAAGAACCAGAACUAUCAAAGUAGAGCAGUUUGCAAUAAAGGAUGCAUUGAGGCUCGGGACAAACGGCACUCCAAUUCUUCAGGACCCUGGCUGUUAUCUUCUGAACUCCAACCUCUGUAGGUUUUUCAUUAAGACCAGUAUGACCAGGCUUUUGGACUAUGUACCUUCAACCUCAUAGAACAAAAACCUUGUGGUGUCAGGACAGGUACCCUUGACCCUGGCUGGCAAAAACUAAGAAUAAAAACAAGGAUAUAGUUAUUGAAUAUCCAUGUCCAUGAGUGUGUCCGUGUGUCCGUGUGUCCGUGUGUGUGUGUGUGUGUGUGUGUGUGUGUGUGUGUGUGUGUGUGAUUUCCUGAUCUUGGCUGCAGCUUGAAGAGCUGUGGACGUUGACCAUAUCCCCAUGUUACACAGAAGAAAACCAAGUCUCAGAGACGCUGACGGGUGCUGCUGGUACGCAACCAAGUUCCAUGAAGCCGGGGAGACUGGGUUUGUCUCGUUCACUGUUGGAUUUCCCGUGCUCGACUCCGUACCUGGAACGCAGCUGUUGGAUACACAUUUGUUGACUGGAUGGCUAAUGAACAAAUGCACAGACAUACAGUGAGGGUCUCUCGCUGAAGCUGGAGCUCAUUGAUUCUACUAGACUGGCUGGCCAGCACAAUCACGAGGAAUCCGCCCAGAUCGGGAUCUGCUGGGACACUCACUGCUGCCCUGAAUUAUUUGUUUGUUUGUUUGUUUACAUGAGGGUUGGGAAUACGGCUCAGGUCCUCGUGCUUGUCCGUCAAGCACAUCUUUCACCGGACCUCCUCCUCAGCUCUCGGAGUUUCUGGGUCUGCUCAGGAGCUGCCUUCCUUUUCCACAAAGAGAAGUGGAGCAGGCGAACCUGAGUUCACUCCGUUUUGCCUGGAAGAGAUGAAAGGGAAGAAAGGCUGACCGUUUUCUAGAAGAUCCCUCACAAGCUAUGUGCAUGACAUCAUGAAGGCUUGCUUGGACCCAGAGCCUGGGUUGGCCCAACUUUGCACUGAGCUCCUACCCAAGGAUUUCCCUCUGGCUCCCUGUGGCCACUGUCACUCUUCGGGGGAUCUUCCUACAAAGUAAUAAAAAUGCUCUACAAGGAUA